rnacentral:rRNA from 1 species
GACGAACGCUGGCGGCGUGCUUAACGCAUGCAAGUCGAACGGAAAGGCCCUGCUUUUGUGGGGUGCUCGAGUGGCGAACGGGUGAGUAACACGUGAGUAACCUGCCCUUGACUUUGGGAUAACUUCAGGAAACUGGGGCUAAUACCGGAUAGGAGCUCCUGCUGCAUGGUGGGGGUUGGAAAGUUUCGGCGGUUGGGGAUGGACUCGCGGCUUAUCAGUUUGUUGGUGGGGUAGUGGCUUACCAAGGCUUUGACGGGUAGCCGGCCUGAGAGGGUGACCGGCCACAUUGGGACUGAGAUACGGCACAGUCUACAACGGGAGGGAGCGGAGGGGAAUGUUGCACAAUGGGCGGAAGCAUGAUUCAGCAACGCCGCGUGCGGGGUAACGGCCUUCGGGUUGUAAACCGCUUUCGCCUGUGACGAAGCGUGAGUGACGGUAAUGGGUAAAGAAGCACCGGCUAACUACGUG